rnacentral:rRNA from 1 species
GAUGAACGCUGACAGAAUGCUUAACACAUGCAAGUCUUUGGCGAAGCUGUGCUCGCACAGCCUAGCCAAGGCGGACGGGUGAGUAACGCGUAAGGAACUUGCCCUGCAGUCAGGGAUAACAGACGGAAACGACUGAUAAGACCUGGUAAAGUCAGGCGGACUCAUGUCCAGCCUGAUGAAAAGAGAUGCUGCAGGAGAGCCUUGCGUCCUAUUAGCUUGUUGGUGGGGUAACGGCCCACCAAGGCGAUGAUAGGUAGCCGGCCUGAGAGGGUGGACGGCCACAAGGGGACUGAGAUACGGCCCUUACUCCUACGGGAGGCAGCAGUGGGGAAUAUUGGACAAUGGGGGCAACCCUGAUCCAGCAAUUCUGUGUGCACGAUGAAGGUUUUCGGAUUGUAAAAUGCUUUCAGCAGGGAAGAAAAAAAUGACGGUACCUGCAGAAGAAGCGACGGCUAAAUACGUG